rnacentral:rRNA from 1 species
CCAACGCUUUACCAGAGAGACACGAAAGCAAAUGGUUGAACUUUUCAAUAAUUGGAGUGCUUUCGUCAUUGUGAACCAGAGUCUCAAAUAAACCUAUGAAGUUUUUAAAGUCCGAAAAGUUGCCGCUGAAGUUUCUAGUAUGAGAAAUUAUCGAUUUAAGUCCUUCUUAAAUGAGGCCAUUUACCCAUAGAGGGUGCCAGGCCGGUAUAACGUUAAUGAUUACUAGAUGAUGUUUCCAAAGAGUCGUGUUGCUUGAUAGUGCAGAGGGUGGUAAACUCCAUCUAAAACUAAAUAUAACCAUGAGACCGAUAGUAAACAAGUACUUUGAGAGAAAGUUGAAAAGAACUCUGAAUAGAGAGUUAAACAGUACGUGAAACUGCUUAGAGGUUAAGCCCGAUGAACCUGAAUAUUCGUUAUGGAAAAUUCAUCAUUAAAAUUGUAAUAUUUUAAAAAUAUUAUAAUAAUAGUGUGCAUUUUUUCCAUAUAAGGACAUUGUAAUCUAUUAGCAUAAAACAAAUAUGUCAUAAAAUAUGACUUAUAGUUUAUUCAAAUUAUUAUGAUUGCAUUUUAACAUAGAGUAAAUGUCAUUAAUUUGAUAAAGUGUUGAUAAACUAAAAUUAAUACAGUGCGUUAAUUUUUCGAAAUUAUAUAAUGGCAUAAUUAUCAUUGAUUUUUGUGUUUAUUAUAUGCAUUUGUAUGAUUAACAAUGCGAAAGAUUCAGGAUACCUUCGGGACCCGUCAUGAAACACGGACCAAGGAGCCUAACAUAUGUGCAGGUUAUUGGGAGAUAAACCUAAUAGCGUAAUUAACUUGACUUAUAAUGGGAUUAGUUUUUUAACUAUUUAUAGAUAAUUAACACAAUCCCGGGGCGUUCUAUAUAGUUAUGUAUAAUAAUAUUUAUAUUAUUUAUGCCUCUAACUGGAACGUACCUUGAGCAUAUAUGCUGUGACCCGAAAGAUGGUGAACUAUACUUGAUCAGGUUGAAGUCAGGGGAAACCCUGAUGGAAGACCGAAACAGUUCUUACGUGCAAAUCGAUUGUAAGAAUUGAGUAUAGGGGCGAAAGACCAAUCGACCAAUCCUUCCGAAGUUUCCCUCAGGAUAGCUGGUGCAUUUUAAUGUUAUAUAAAAUAAUCUUAUCUGGUAAAGCGAAUGAUUAGAGGCCUUAGGGUCGAAACGAUCGUAGCCUAUUCUCAAACUUUAAAUGGGUAAGAACCUUAACUUUCUUGAUAUGAAGUUUAAGGAUAUGAUAUAAUGUGCCCAGUGGGCCACUUUUGGUAAGCAGAACUGGCGCUGUGGGAUGAACCAAACGUAAUGUUACGGUGCCCAAAUUAACAAAUCAUGCAGAAACCAUGAAAGGCGAUGGUUGCUUAAAACAGCAUGACGGUGAUCAUGGAAGUCGAAACACGCUAAGGAGUGUGUAACAACUCACCUGCCGAAGCAACUAGCCCUUAAAAUGGAUGUCGCUUAAGCUGUAUACUUAUACAUUACCGCUAAAGUAGAUGAUUUAUAUUACUUGUGAUAUAAAUUUGGAAACUUUAGUGUUUGGCGUAAGCCUUCAUGGAGCUGCCAUUGGCACAGAUCUUGGUGGUAGUAGCAAAUAAUCGAAUGAGACCUUGGAGGACUGAAGUGGAGAACGGUUUCGUGUGAACAGUGGUUGAUCACCAGUUAGUCGGUCCUAAGUUCAAGGCGAAAGCCGAAAAUUUUCAAGUAAAAAAUCAGUGAGUAAUAUUGUCAAAUCUUUUAUGAUUUUUAAAUACUUGAAUAAUUUUGAACGAAAGGGAAUACCGUUCCAAUUCCGUAACCUGUUGAGUAUCCGUUUGUUAUUAAAUAUGGGCCUCGUGCUCAUCCUGGCAACAGGAACGACCAUAAAGAAGCCGUCGAGAGAUAUCGGAAGAGUUUUCUUUUCUGUUUUAUAGCCGUACUACCAUGGAAGUCUUUCGCAGAGAGAUAUGGUAGAUGGGCUAGAAGAGCAUGACAUAUACUGUUGUGUCGAUAUUUUCUCCUCGGACCUUGAAAAUUUAUGGUGGGGACACGCAAACUUCUCAACAGGCCGUACCAAUAUCCGCAGCUGGUCUCCAAGGUGAAGAGUCUCUAGUCGAUAGAAUAAUGUAGGUAAGGGAAGUCGGCAAAUUAGAUCCGUAACUUCGGGAUAAGGAUUGGCUCUGAAGAUUGAGAUAGUCGGGCUUGAUUGGGAAACAAUAAAAUGGUUUAUGUGCUCGUUCUGGGUAAAUAGAGUUUCUAUCAUUUAUGGUAGUUACUUGUUCCCCGGAUAGUUUAGUUACGUAGCCAACUGUGGAACUUUCUUGCUAAAAUUUUUAAGAAUACUAAUUGGGUAAAAACAGUUAGUUCUUAUUAAUUAUAACGAUUAUCAAUUAACAAUCAAUUCAGAACUGGCACGGACUUGGGGAAUCCGACUGUCUAAUUAAAACAAAGCAUUGUGAUGGCCGUAGCGGGUGUUGACACAAUGUGAUUUUUGCCCAGUGCUCUGAAUGUCAAAGUGAAGAAAUUCAAGUAAGCGCGGGUCAACGGCGGGAGUAACUAUGACUCUCUUAAGGAAGAUAUGGAUCUGAAUAAUAGCGUAGAAGGGGAUUUAUUCCGUAAUUCGUAAAUCGUAAAAAUCAGAUCAAGUUGAUUCAAGAUCUCCUCGUGGUAUCUUCUGGAUGCUAUUAGACUGAAUUUAUUUAGUCUAAUAGUAACUAACUUGAACAGCGAGACAGUCCCUGGGGUUGCCAUCCCCUUGGACGGUUCAUUUUGAUUGGUACAAAUAUGGAAAAUAUAACGCCUCGGAUGACAAUAUCGAUUUCGUUGACGAACCAAAUCCCUACGGUUUCUAGCCUAGUGGCCCAAUCUGAACAUAGUGCACAGGUUAACCCAAACAGUGGUUACCAAUGCACGAUAUGUGAAGCGUCUUUCCGUAGCAAAAGCGGACUAGGCGUUCAUAUGUCACGUCGACACAAAGACGAGUUUGAUCAACUUCGUCUUCGUACCGACAAGAAGGCACAAUGGAGUGAGGAAGAGUUGAGUAUGAUGGCAAGAAAAGAGAUCGAGCUCGCAGCAAAUGGAGAAAGAUUUCUAAAUAAGAAGCUAGCGGAAGUAUU